CCUGCUGCAGGAUGAUCACAUUAUACACAAUUACACACUCUAGGAAUUUCUCCUGAGAUCCAGCUGGGUACAGGCUGGAGUGGCGGAGGAGCCGGAGCGUGUGCGGAAUAAUGAAUCAUUCAUUCAAGCUGACUUGGAGCUCUUGGGUUCUGCCAGCAUGUGGGGAAAAUGGCAAGUAUUCAACACGCUCCCAACAGGGCAGAAGCAUCAUGUGUUUGUGGCCCUACCUUCUUUGCAGAACAACAAAUCUCAC
rnacentral:lncRNA from 12 species